rnacentral:tRNA from 1 species
AAGAAAGUGGCAGAGUGGUUAUGUGGUUGGCUUGAAACUAACUUAUAGGGGUUCAAUUCCCUUCUUUCUCG